GACGAACGCUGGCGGCGUGCUUAACACAUGCAAGUCGAACGGAAAGGCCCUGCUAUUGUGGGGUGCUCGAGUGGCGAACGGGUGAGUAACACGUGAGUAACCUGCCCUUGACUUUGGGAUCACUUCAGGAAACUGGGGCUAAUAUCGGAUAGGAGCUCCUGCUGCAUGGAGGGGGUUGGAACGUUUCGGCGGUAUGGGAUGGACGCGCGGCUUAUCAGCUUGUGGGUGGGGUAGUGGCUUACCACGGCUUUGACGGGUAGCCGGCAUGAGAGGGUGGACGGCGACAUGAGUACUGAGAUACGACGCAGAGGGGUACGGGAGACAGCAGGGGGGAGUAUUGCACAAUGAGCGGAAGCCUGAGGCGGCAACGCCGCGUGCGUGAUGACGGUCUUCGGGGUGUGAACCGCUUUCGCCUGAGACGAAGCGUGAGUGACGGUAAUGGGUAAAGAAGCACCGGCUAACUACGUG
rnacentral:rRNA from 1 species